CACGUAGGGUGCGAGCAUUGUCCGGAAUUAUUGGGCGUAAAGAGCUCGUAGGCGGUGUGUCGCGUCGGCCGUGAAAACCUGCAGCUUAACUGUGGGCUUGCGGUCGAUACGGGCAUCACUGGAGUUCGGCAGGGGAGACUGGAAUUCCUGGUGUAGCGGUGAAAUGCGCAGAUAUCAGGAGGAACACCGGUGGCGAAGGCGGGUCUCUGGGCCGAUACUGACGCUGAGGAGCGAAAGCGUGGGGAGCAAACAGG
rnacentral:rRNA from 1 species